rnacentral:other from 1 species
AAGACCCAAGGAAAGGUCAUCUUCAGGAAGAAGAUAUGGUUAUUCAGGAAGAAUAGUCAGCAAGGACUGCAAAGGACAUUAGCUGGAUGCUAGUAGCAAGGAUUGUUACCAACUAUGUUAAUGGACGCUUAAAGGAUUAAGGCAAAUCUUUGUCAGGAUGAUGAAGUUAGGACACUACUCACGGAAGGGUGAUGUAAGUUAGCCAGGAAAGCUAACGGGCAGGAUGGCCAAGGACACCGCUAGGAUGGCGAUGAUAUGGAAAGCGCUGAAGGAAUCAGCCUACUAUCAAGGAUUCGAUGCAGGGAGCAUCUAUCAGUAGCAGGAUUGCUGCGAGUAAGAACAGAAAACCCACUGAGCGAAAGCUGAGUGGGUUUUUUCUUAUCU